AGCACGAUGUGAGUAGACGAGGACGAUGUGAGCAGACGGGGGCGACGUCAGCAGACGAGGACGGACUGCUUAUCUUUAGCUUAUGAGUUAUGACAGAAAUCACACCUCACCCACUCUUAUGUCAGAAGAUGACUGAUUCUACCUACUCAAUGACCCCACCAGUCUCCCCAUACCAGUAUGGUAUGGACUUGGAGAUAACUGAAACAGAAACAUCUGCAUCAGUUAAAACAGGAAACAACUCAUUUCUACUGGUGGAAGCAGCAUAUUUCUGCUGUGGAGGCGAGGCAUAUCCUGGCAGAGAGCCACACCUGUAUGAACAUUUUUCUUUCCACAAAAAUGGUGUCAUAAAAUCUGGCGCUCUUGACCGGCUGAUGCCACCACAACCAAAUCAAGAAGGGUUUGAGCCAUCCCUUACACUGUUUGGCUUCACUUUCUUUUACCUGGCUUUGGAGGAGGAAGAAGAAAGAGACAGGCUGUUCAUGUUAGCUCGGCAAGCAAUCAGGGAUGUGAGAAAUGUCAACGAUCAAGACAGUGCCAAGAAGGUGUCAAAACGGCAAGAGCUGAUAAAGUUUUUACUCUAUGUGAAGGACUUCAUAAAAAGAUUCCUACCAGAAAAUGGAAGUAGUCGCUGGCAUAUUGUUCGUCAGUUGGUGAGAAAGCUUCAUCUUCUACUUCACAUUGGCAAACUUUCAGACCAGCCCUCAGAGUGCUCUCUCAUUCAACAAGCCAGUAUUCAUCACAUAUUCCAUCAGCAUUUGGACAUCUGCUGGUACAUGUUAGAAAUCCUUCACACCUUGACCACACAAGCUGGAACUGCAGAUGUGCUGGAUGACAUAAGGCUAUGCCAGAAGCUUGGGGAUUCAAAAGACAGUGGUAUUCUGUCAUCAUUUGAUCAGCUGGUUCAGUUUCUGCUCUUUGACCUUGUCUGUCUGGCUGUGCCUAUUUUUGAGAAGUUGCACAGUCAAGAGUGGCUCCACUCCUCUCCCUUUCCUUGUGGAUGUGUGCUAGAGAUGUGGACACUAGUGCUUCGACUGACCACAAUCAGGAAGGAGAAAUAUGGCACAGAAUCAUUCUGGGUACAGCUACACCAUAUACUCCAGACUCUGUGGGACACUUGUGCUGAACCUGGAGAUGGAGGAGAAAGUCAAGACAGUAAUAUCUUCAUGUUGAGCAUCUCACAACAGCCAUCAUGUCCUGCCAGCUUCUGCUUGUGGCUCACCACUCAUCUGGCUCAUCUUACCUGCUUUGACAACAAUGGCCUCAUGCGUGAUGCCAGCCACAACUUAAACAAUUUCUUUAUUGUCGACAUGUUGAUGGAGAAAGUUUUACGGACAUCGCCAAAGGAAGAAACUUUGCGAGCCUGCUUGCGCUGCUGUGCAUCUAUCUCUAGUCUGUGGAGGCCAACCAGAAGUCUCAUCACUACACUCUGGGAGUAUUUCUCUCACAGACUGAAUGAGCGAUUCCAGCAGCAGGUGGCCAGUGUUGAAGGGCUUGCCAUUUUCAAUAAAACGUCUUCAGCACUGCUGGAAAAAUGUGAGAGACUUUGUUGUGGUGACUUGGAUGGCCUGGCACAGGAGACUAGCUUUUCUCUCUUUUUGCGGCUGUUAACAAGGCUGCUGAAAAGUAGUGAGGCCGAAUGGAGGCAGAUAAAGGGCAGGUUUUACUCAAAGUUUCACCAACGUCGCAUGCAGGAUCUGACAGAAACUGGUUUGCAUAACCUGACUUGCCUUUUUCUUGUCCUAGCCUUGUGCGUGGAUCCAGAGGAAGUGGCUUUGAAACUGAGUAACCUCUAUGACAUGCUAGAUCCUGCGACAUGGCGUUUCAGCCUGAGGGUGCGAAUAUGGUGCGGGGCUUUGGCCAUGAUUGAGCAGCUGGUUAAAGCCAACCAUGACAUCAGUGUUCUGGCUGAGAAGAUGGCAUUCUCCUUUAAUACACUGUGCAGACAGCUCUCUGAGGGCAAGCUUGACUACACUCAGCGACAAGAAGCUUCAGGUCUGGUGGCCAUGUACCUGCAUGGUGUGCAAGCAAUUGUGGAUCACUCACACCUCAAGGGAGCUGAAUAUUUAUUUAUAGGUGAGGGGAUCAGGCUUACUUUAGAGAAUGGCAAUGAAAGUGAAGUUCGAAACAUGCUGACAACACUGGACACCAUAGCUGCACGGCUGAGGUAUGUCACAGAUCACUUGAGAGACGAACAAGCAAACGAGAGAGUCAGUCAUCAUCAACACCAGCAAGACUUAGCUGACAGGCUUUGGCAGUUUGUCUUUCCAUUUGUGUGUAACCAUGCCUGCACCUUGACCCCUCCCUUGUGCCUAGCUGACCUGGCAGUGACUUUGACACACCUUUCACAGACUUUUCCACCACCACUCUUCACAUGUCCUGAAGGAACUGUCAGCAUAUUCAAACAGUUUGCACUCGGUGAUACUGUGGCUGUCAGCAUUGUCUGUCACUACCUGGUGCAGGUGCUAGGAGAACCAGCUAUCCGUGAUUUUGUCCUUUCGUCAUCUCAGCAAUCAUCUGCCCCAUCAGCAGCAACACAAGCAUCAAGGAGUCUGCUGCAGAAGGAUGUGAUCAGAGCUUGGUUUCGCUGUGUCAUGUUGAUGUCAGAAACAUCGUCAUCAUUGCAAGAACUGACUCAGCAGGUCCUGCUGUUACCAGAGGUUAUUUCGCUGUCGGCAGCUAGUGACAUUGGUGCCCACAACCUGCUGCUUGGUUCAUGCCCAGCCACGUGGAGAACUUUCCUGAAAAGUGUAGGCCACUUCUUCAGAAAUGCCAAGGGUUUGCUAGAGAAAAGACAGGCCAGAGACCAAGUGUCUCCAUACUUCCAGGACGUGGCACAACACGCUGCACCAUUGCUGCGCACCCUGGCACCAGCCAGUACCCUGCUGCACAUGUUUCGUGUGGUAGGGCACUUAGUGAAGUACUGUGCACCUGCUCUUUACCUCCAGAGACAAGCCCCUCCACCCCAGCUACUCAGCUGCAGUGAAAGAGACGCUACAUUUGUUCAUUGAAGGUCUGGGAAAGAUGGAGCACAAUCGUCUGCCUGAUGUGCAGCGACACCUUCGUGAUAUCGUGACUAACUACCUCUUUCGUUUUCCUUUGACUCUGACAGAUUUAGACCUACACCCAGUCCUG
rnacentral:misc_RNA from 1 species